rnacentral:tRNA from 2 species
GCGAGUGUAGCUCAAUUGGUAGAGCAUAUCGUUGCCAACGAUAAGGUCGUGGGUUCGAAGCCCAUCACUCGCUCCA